GACAGAGGGUGCAAACGUUGUUCGGAAUUACUGGGCGUAAAGCGCGUUAAGGCGGUUGGCAAAGUUGGUUGUGAAAUCUCAGGGCUCAACCCUGAAAUUGCGACCAAUACUGGUCGACUAGAGUGUGAGAGAGGAAGGUGGAAUUCCCGGUGUAGUAGUGAAAUGCGUAGAUAUCAGGAGGAACACCGGUGGCGAAGGCGGGUCUCUGGGCCGAUACUGACGCUGAGGAGCGAAAGCGUGGGGAGCGAACAGG
rnacentral:rRNA from 1 species